rnacentral:misc_RNA from 1 species
UUGACUUCGAGAGACUCCAAUCCAAAUCUCAUAACUUUGAAGACAAUUCUAACUUCAACGAUUUAAGGAAAAAAGUACAAAAUUUGUCUAUUUCAAAGGAUUACAAGCAAAAGAACUACUGUAAAACAUCUUUCUAGCAAGAAUACGAGCAGUAUUAUUACAAAAAAGAUAAAUAUAAAUAAAAAAUAUAUUUAAAAUAUCUCUAUUCAAAAGAGAAAUAUCAUUAAAAAUACCUUGAAGAUCAAUCGAAAUAGCACCACCAUUAGUUAACUAAUUCAACAUCACCUUCUAAACAAACAUGUUGGAAAGAUCUAAAACCCAUUGAUUACAACACCUUACUAUUUUUAUGUGUAUAUGACAUUUACUUUGCAUAAUAUACAGAUGGAAAGAGUACUAUAUUUUAAUGAAACAGAAACACUGAAUAAGUUUUAUAAUAAUAUUUGGGUUUUGUUUUUUUAUAAUUGAUUUGGAUUGUGAUUCGAAAUCGACACUUUAUGGUAUUGAAAAUUAAUCGAUGGGCUUCCAAUGAAACAGAAAAGAGAAUAGGAGGAAACAUAGAAAGUUACCCUGCACUCUGAAAUUCCACAGGUUAACUCGAGUUUAAUCAACUCAUUAAACUCGGUUACGAGUUCCAUUUUCUUUCUUCUUUGGAAAGAAGAUUAGGAACAUACCACACCAAACAGAAAGUGCAAAAUCGACUAGACAAGCAAAUAUACAUCACACUGCAGACUCACACAGCACUCAAAACCAAACAUAUCUCUUUAAUUAUGUUCCUAAUACGUAUUCCAUUAAUUCAGACGCCUAAUCUUUAACUACCUGUAGAAAACAAAACUAUUCAUCAACUAGUCAAGGCAUUUCUUUCGCAGCAUAACUAUUAACUAGAGCAAGAGCAUUACUAGUAAAUUUUUUCACAUCCGCCGCACGUUCACACACGUCCGAUUUCACGGGUCCUUCCGGAACAUCAUCAAAACCGUCCGUACACGUUUCUUCGUCCGUCAAUGCGGCGCUCAUCCACGUCUGCACGUUGCUCAUUCGGAACCGGAAUGCCUCCGCCGACGAGCCUGCUGCUCCGAGCUGUUGCAUCUGCUUAAGCGAGCCGUGGAUCUCGUCUACAGCGUCGCCGAAGUUGGAGUGGCAGUCGUGUAGGGCGGCGGCUGCUCGAUGGUCGGAGCCGUAGUCGGCUUCGCGUGAGAGGUUAGAGACGUAGGAGGCCAUGUGUCUGGCUCGCGAAAGGCUUAAGCCUAUGGCGACUCGAGCAAGGCGAGCAGGGUUUUGCUGAACGGCACUGGCGUAGCGGGAAAGGGAAGUGAAGCAGAUUUCAGGAUACAAUGUUGCACUGCAGCUUGUGCGGAUGUAAUCGGUGCUGUUAGAUUGAGAGGCGGGGCUGGGGGAAGCUACGGUGGCGAUUGGUUGGAGGUGGAGGAGUAAGGUGGAGAAGAGGAUGGAGAGAAGAAGAGGCCGUUGCGUAUGUGUUUCCAUUUUCGCCACGCUUUUGUUAUUGGUAUUUUGAGGAUGACCUGAGCUGAGCGAGUG